rnacentral:rRNA from 1 species
CAGCAGUAGCCGCGGUAAUACAGAGGGUGCAAGCGUUAAUCGGAAUUACUGGGCGUAAAGCGCGCGUAGGUGGUUCGCCAAGUUGGAUGUGAAAUCCCCGGGCUCAACCUGGGAACUGCAUCCAAAACUGGCGAGCUAGAGUAUGGUAGAGGGUGGAGGAAUUUCCUGUGUAGCGGUGAAAUGCGUAGAUAUAGGAAGGAACAUCAGUGGCGAAGGCGACCACCUGGACUGAUACUGACACUGAGGUGCGAAAGCGUGGGGAGCAAACAGGAUUAGAUACCCCUGUAGUCCCUGUCUCUUAUAC